CGGCACUUAAGCAUUUUAAACAAAUAAAGUGACCAACAACAUCACCUUCUAAACAAAAGUUCACUAUUAAAAUCACCGGCACUUAAGCAUUUCAACAAAUAAAGUAACCAACUACAUCACCUUCUAAACAAAAGUUCACUUUUAAAGUCACCAAAACUUAAGCAUUUUCAACUAAUAAAGUCACCAACCACAUCACCUCCUAAACACUAAUUCACUAUUAAAGUCACCAAAACAUAAGCAUUUUCAACAAAUAAAGUCACCAACAACAUCACCUUCUAAACACAAGCUCACUAUUAAAGUCACCAGAACUUAAGCUUUUUAAACUAACAAAGGCACCAACGAAACUAAUUCACUAUUAAAGUCACCAAAACUUAAGCAUUUUCAACUAAUAAAGUCACAAACUACAUCACCUCCUAAACACUAAUUCACUAUUAAAGUCACCGGCACUUAAGCAUUUUCAACAAAUAAAGCAACCAACAACAUCACCUUCUAAAAAAAAGUUCAGUUAUAAAGUCACCAAAAUUUAACCAUUUUCAACUAAUAAAGUCACAAACUACAUCACCUCCUAAACACUAAUUCACUAUUAAAGUCACUAAAACUUAAGCAUUUUCAAAAAAUAGAGUCACCAACAACAUCGACUUCUAAACAGUAGUUCACUAUUAAAGUCACCAAAACUUAAGCUUUUUCAACUAACAAAGGCACCAACAAAAAAAGUUCACUAUUAAAGCUACCGGCACUUAAGCAUUUUCAACAAACAAAGUAACCAACAAAAUCACCUUAUAAAUAAAAGUUAACUUUUAAAGUCACUGGCACUUAAACAUUUUCAACAAAUAAAGUAACCAACAGCAUCACCUUCUAAACAAAAGUUCACUACUAAAGUCACCGGCACUUAAGCAUUUUCAACAAAUAAAGUCACCAACAACAUCACCUCCAAAACACAAGUUCACUAAUAAAGUCACCAAAACUUAAGCUUUUUCAACUAACAAAGGCACCAACGAAACUAAUUCACUAUUAAAGUCACCAAAAUUUAAGCAUUGUCAACAAAUAAAGUCACCAACAACAUCACCUUCUAAACACUAAUUCACUAUAAAAGUCACCGGCACUUAAGCAUUUUCAACAAAUAAAGUAACCAACAACAUCACCUUCUAAACAAAAGUUUACUUUUAAAGUCACCGGAGCUUAAGCUUUUUUAACAAAUAAAGUAACCAAUAACAUCACCUUCUAAACAAAAGUUCACUAUUAAAGUCACCGGCACUUAAGCAUUUUCAACAAAUAAAGUAACCAACAACAUCACCUUCUAAACAAAAGUUCACUUUUAAAGUCACCAAAAUUUAAAACUUUUCAUCUAAUAAAGUUACCAACCACAUCACCUCCUAAACACUAAUCACUAUUAAAGUCACUAAAACUUAAGAUUUUCAGCAAAUAAAGUCAUCAACAAUAUCACCUUCAAAACACUAGUUCACUAUUAAAGUCACCAAAACUUAAGGUUUUUCAACUAACAAAGGCACCAACGAAAAAAGUUCACUAUUAAGCCCACCGGCACUUAUGCACUUUCAACAAAUAAAGUAUCCAACAACAUCACCUUAAAAAUAAAAGUUCACUUUUAAAGUCACCGGCACUUAAGCAUUUUCAACAAAUAAAGUAACAAACAACAUCACCUUCGAAACAAAAGUUCACUAUUAAAGUCACCGGCACUUAAGCAUUUUUAACAAAUAAAGUCACUAACAACAUCACUUUCUAAACACUAGUUCACUAUUAAAGUCACCAAAACUUAAGCUUUUUCAACUAACAAAGGCACCAACGAAACUAAUUAACUGUUAAAGUCACAAAAACUUAAGCAUUUUCAACAAAAAAAGUCACCAACAACAUCACCUUCUAAACACUAAUUCACUAUUAAAGAAACCGGCACUUAAUCAUUUUCAACAAAUAAAGUAACCAACAACAUCACCUUCUAAACAAAAUUUCACUUUUAAAGUCACCGGCACUUAGGCAUUUUCAACAAAGAAAGUAACCAACAACAUCACCUUCUAAACAAAAGUUUACUUUUAAAGUCACCAAAAUUUAAGCAUUUUCAACUAAUAAAGUCACCAACCACAUCACCUCCUAAACACUAAUUCACUAUUAAAAUCACCAAAACUUAAGCUUUUUCAACUAACAAAGGCUCCAACGAAACUAAUUCACUAUUAAAGUCACCAAAACUUAAGCAUUUUCUACAAAUAAAGUCAACAACAACAUCACGUUAUAAACAAAUGUUCACUUUUAAAGUUAUCGGCACUUAAGCAUUUUCAACAAAUAAAGUAACCAACAACAUCACCUUCUAAACAAAAUUUCACUAUUAAAGUCACCGGCACUUAAGCAUUUUCAACAAAUAAAGUCACCAACAACAUGACCUCCUAAACACUAGUUCACUAUUAAAGACACCAAAACUUAAGCUUUUUCAACUAACAAAGGCACCAACGAAACUAAUUCACUAUUAAAGUCACCAAAACUUAAGCAUUUUCUACAAAUAAAGUCACCAACAACAUCACCUUCUAAACACUAAUUCACUAUUAAAGAAACCGGCACUUAAUCAUUUUCAACAAAUAAAGUAACCAACAACAUCACCUUCUAAACAAAAUUUCACUUUUAAAGUCACCGGCACUUAGGCAUUUUCAACAAAGAAAGUAACCAACAACAUCACCUUCUAAACAAAAUUUCACUUUUAAAGUCACCGGCACUUAGGCAUUUUCAACAAAGAAAGUAACCAACAACAUCACCUUCUAAACAAAAUUUCACUUUUAAAGUCACCGGCACUUAGGCAUUUUCAACAAAGAAAGUAACCAACAACAUCACCUUCUAAACAACAACAUCACCUUCUAAACACUAGUUCACUAUUAAAGUCACCAAAACUUAAGCUUCUUCAACUAACAAAGGCACCAACGAAAAAAGUUCACUAUUAAAGUCACCGGCACUUGAGCAUUUUC
rnacentral:lncRNA from 1 species